UUUAGGUAUUUGUUCUAUGGAUGUGGUAUUGAAUAUAUUUGUCUAUGACUAUGAAAGAACUUGCAUUUAUAUUUUUUGUAUCAACAUAAACCAAGGAUUCUUCAGAAGCCAGAACUUGGAUUUUCCUUUGUUUCAACUUUAACAAAGUGUUUUUCGAGAGCCGAAACCUGGAUUUUUUUUUUGGACCGACCCAAAUCAAUUUUCCUCCGGGAGCCGGGGAUCCCCUUUUCAUUUCUCUUUCUGAACUCUACA